GCAGUCAGAUCAUACCUGGACUGUUGUGUUGUGGUACGGACUUACAUGUCUUAAACAGAGAAAAUAGAGAAUGAUAUUGCUGGAUGGUUUUUUCUCAUUAGCAUAUCUUGAAGCUGUCCAUUGUUGUUCGAUACCAUCUGGACUGUACGCUCCUCACUUCCAAAGAAAAAGUAUUACAUAGAAAUAUUUCUAAUAAGUGAUACAGAAGGAUUCUUCAUUGUUUUUAUCUUAUCUUGAUAAACCCAUUAGCAUUUAUAGAAUCAACACUGACUACAUCUAAUGCCCGUUCUUUAGCUGUUUCUCAAAUAAAAUAAAAAUUUGUUACACUGGUUCAUUUCAAUACCUGUUCUUUAGCAUGAUUCAUCUUCUAGAAAAGUACCCAAUGUUCCCCAAUAGUUUACGUAUAAGUGUAGCUAUAUUUGGCCACAUGUGAACUCUACAUACUGACCCCCUGAUGUAGUACAGACCGUAGGUAUUAGAUUAAGCACUCAAACAAUAGAACAUAGAAGAAUCUAAAAGAUCGAGGAGACGAAAAUAUAGAUCGAAGGGACGAAAGAAAGGACCGAAAUCAGAGAACCGAGAAGGAAGAACAGAAAUCACAUAGUUUAAGAGAAG